UGGCCCCACCUCUCACCGCAAGCAGCCGCCGGCAAUGCCUUCACUCCAGCCAGCUCCAUCCACCCUCCGCCGGCCCCUCCUUCCUCUGCAUCGCAAAUGGCAGUGGGAAUGUCCCCACAGGGGGCAGGUGACGCGGCCAGAGCCUGUUAAAGAUUUUUUGCAGAUUGAGGAGUUUUUGCAGGACAAUGGCCAUAUUCAGCUGAUGCACAAUCCAGCCUGCUUGGGAUAAUGGUCAAUGUGAUAGUGGGGCCCUGGGAAAAUGUUAAGAUAGACUCUGAAAUGUUAAGCUUUGCGUUGUACCUACGUGGGACCCUGUGAGUGCUGCUGAAUGAGUUCGUGACUUGAUCAUGGUCCAGCCAGAACCGAGGGAUUCUCGGGGAGCCCAUCGGCCGCAACCGCCUCUGCCGCUCACAACGUCCCCAGGAGAGUGCUCGGCUCCGGAGCAUCCUCGUGUGGAAUAGACCAAUAACUCUCGAGAAUCCAGUUCAUAACGUACAUCCAGGAGACGAGGUGUACAUUAAAAACUGGAACGAAGAACCGCUGAAAGAAAAGUGGAGUGGACCCUAUCAUGUACUGCUGACCACCUUUAUGGCAGUCAAAGUAGCCGGCGUAGACCCCUGGAUUCACUAUACCUGAGUGAAGAAAGUCCAUCCUGGAUCACGGACUAUGUAAACUGUGGAACCAAGACUGCAGAUAAGAUGUGUUUAAUUACUUUGGGAAUGCUAUUAGUAAUUGUGCUAAUGUUAUGGUCAUUAAUGUCUUUGGGAUGUGGAAUGCAAAAAGAUCAACUAACCACUCUUCAUUCUAGAAUGAAGAGAGAGGCAGAAACACAGGUGAUAAAAAUUUCUAAUGCAGUUCGGGCUGAGAAUGUAAUGAUUAGAUUAGUCAAAGAUUUUGCCAAAAUACAAAACAGCAGAAGAAUAACUGCCUGUCUGCCAAUACCAAAGGCAGCAGGAGACCCAGUAAAUUGGGGAAUCAUAACAUCAAAAGUACCUGAAAUACAAAAGAACAAAACAGUUGCAUGCAAACAGGUACCCGAGUUGAGACAAGUAGUCAAGGAAACUUGGGAGAAAAUAGGAACAUGGAUGAGACCUAUGAGCCAGAAAGACUGUAUUCUAAGUGAUAGCAUACUAGGAACCCCUAUGGGACAGUCAGGAGGCAUCACACAAUGGCAAUACUAUUUGCCACACUAUAAAAAGAUCAUAGAAAAUGUUACAGAAACCACUCUGGUAUGGAAGUGUGAGGCCGAGGAUCAGAAAGAUCAGAUAGAGCCUUGGUACAGUGUGUGGUCUAUGAGUAUACUUCAAAAAUUCCAAUAUAUGACAAACACCCCUUGGUGUAUGAAGUGGGAAGGCUCCGAGAAUGAAACAGAUCCAGCAGUAACAUACACUGCCACUAGUAGCAGAACGUGAGCAGACAAAGUAAGUUGGUGGGCAUGCAAUAAAACUUAUGACUGUACUUCUGAUAAUGCAGACAUAAAACAGAUGCCACCCCUGGCAAUAGCCCUACAGAUUGGUUGUGCUUGCAGAGGGAUCAAACAUAAACAAGGCAAAAUGAAUUAUAAAGUGAUUAUAGGAUGUACCAGGAGUACAAUUAAAAGUCCAGGACAAUUUGUAUGGGUAACAAGCGAUGGUACCUGGACAACACAUCUGCCUGUAGAUGGGAAAGUAAAGGAAAUUACUUUGGGCCUCCCAACCUUAUGUCCAAUUUGGAAAAAGUCCCCAUUUAAUGGAAAACAUGAACUUCUGCAGAUAAGAGCAAGACGAGAAGUUCUAGACAAUGAAAAUCCAGAUGACACUUGGCAAGAACCCUCUAGUGGAGUGAAAUUUGGGUGGGCCCCUUUGCUUGGUCCUAUAGCAAACUAUCAGAGUAGAGAGACGCUGUACAAACUUACAGGUCAGGUAGACAGACUUGCAAGAGUCACCUGGGAAGGAUUUAGAGAAUUAAACAUACAAUUACAAGCCACCACAAAAAUGACUUUGCAAAAUCGAUUAGCCUUAGAUUUGUUACUCCUGAAGAAGCAUGGAGUAUGUGGAUUUUUAAAGGGACAAGUUGAUCAUUGCUGCGUUCGCAUCCCAAAUGUAACUGCAGAUGUAGAAUAUGACAUCAAUCAGUUGAAACAAAUAGAGCAUGAAGCACAAGAAGAGCAAAAGGAUUUGACUACAAAUUGGUUAGGAAAAUUCUUUAAAGGGUUAGGGUGGAAUGUGAGUUCAUGGAUUAAAUCUAUCUUUGAGAGUGUGAUAAUCUUACUAAUUGUAUUCUUAGCAAUUUGGUUAGUUUACAGCAUCUUAAGGAGAGAAAUACAGAAGAAAACAUCCUGGAACAGAGAAUAAUAAAAGCACUGGCACGAGAUCCACGCCCAUUAUCUUCUGGUUCUCCAGUCCGUGAUCGCAUCCACGACAACGUUUACAUCAACCCUGGAUUUGAAGAACAUCAAGCAUAAAUUAAGAAGUAAAGGACUGUAUCAAAUGAAAACAUUUACACCUAUAGUGAAGUGAAAAUGCUUUCAAAGGGGGGAUAAUGAUAGUGGGGCACUGGGAAAAUGUUAAGAUAGACUCUGAAAUGUUAAGCUUUGCGUUGUACCUACAUAAGUGGUAUGAUAAAUGAUAUAAUUGUUAGAUAUGAUGAUUGUUUAGUAAUUAAAAAUAAUUAUUGUAUAAUCAUAAGAAGGAUCAUGAGAAACUGUAUGUUCCUAAUCUAAGGAGGCUAUGCUUGGCUGAAAUCUAUGUAUACAAUUGAACAAGUUUAAUAAUUAACAUGAAAGUUAUAUAACAGUAGAAUAUAAAAACAUGGUCAUCCCAAACUUAUGUCAGAGUCAGAUUUGGGUUUGUACCCCUGCCACCCAGAGCUCUUCAAUAAAGGCAUCUGCAUAUAA